rnacentral:rRNA from 1 species
GUUGACCUCGGAUCAGGUAGGAAGACCCGCUGAACUUAAGCAUAUCAAUAA